AGUUAAAUACUUAGAAAGUAUUAUGUUUUGAAAGCAUAAUUAAGAGGUUUAAAUCCUCUAUUAACUU
rnacentral:tRNA from 1 species